rnacentral:rRNA from 1 species
GUGCCAGCCGCCGCGGUAAUACGUAGGUGGCAAGCGUUGUCCGGAUUUAUUGGGUUUAAAGGGUGCGUAGGCGGCUUAAUAAGUCAGUGGUGAAAGCCGAUCGCUUAACGAUCGAACUGCCAUUGAUACUGCUAGGCUUGAGUAUAGUUGAGGUAGGCGGAAUUGACAGUGUAGCGGUGAAAUGCAUAGAUAUUGUCAAGAACACCAAUUGCGAAGGCAGCUUACUAAAGUAUAACUGACGCUGAGGCACGAAAGUGCGGGGAUCAAACAGGAUUAGAAACCCUCGUAGUCC